rnacentral:rRNA from 1 species
AGCAGCCGCGGUAAUUCCAGCUCCAAUAGCGUAUAUUAAAGUUGUUGCAGUUAAAAAGCUCGUAGUUGAAUUUCGGGGCUAGUAGAUUGGUCGUGCCAUUGGUACGUACUGGUCUUACUGAUUCCUCCUUCCUGAUGAACCGUAAUGCCAUUAAUUUGGUGUUGCGGGGAAACUGGACUGUUACUUUGAAAAAAUUAGAGUGUUUAAAGCAGGCUAACGCUUGAAUACAUUAGCAUGGAAU